GGCUAAUGUCACCACCUGUGACAGAGCUCUUAUUUAUGAACUGAAGAACAUUCUCCAUCUUGGCCCUCUUGCCAGAAAAGUUCUCUCGCCACAGACCAACAGGAAGUUCCCUAAGUACUGUGAGACUUUGUCUCUGCCUAUAGCUGGCUGCAUUGGACAUGGAUUCCUGGCCCAAGUUCAUUAAAGAAGAUGAGGGAAACUAAACACACAUGUACAUGCACACCAGAUAAACUGAAUGCUUCUUUCUGCUGGGGACACGCUGUAGGUGAGCAAAGUGCACCAAGGACAAGGCGGCCACUGGUAGGUGCCCUUUGUAGGCCUAUCAAGGAUCAUUUGAGGUGAUGCUAUU